ACGAAGGGGGCUAGCGUUGUUCGGAAUUACUGGGCGUAAAGCGAGUGUAGGUGGUUGUUCAAGUUGGAUGUGAAAGCCUUGAGCUCAACUCAAGAAAUGCAUUCAGGACUGGUCGACUAGAGUGCAGGAGAGGAUAGUGGAAUUCCCAGUGUAGCGGUGAAAUACGUAGAUAUUGGGAAGAACACCAGUGGCGAAGGCGGCUAUCUGGACGGUAACUGACACUAAGGCUCGAAAGCGUGGGGAGCAAACAGG
rnacentral:rRNA from 1 species